AGUGAACGCUGGCGGCAUGCCUAACACAUGCAAGUCGAACGGACGCACAGUAAGCUCUUGCUCUUACGGUUGGCGAGUGGCGGACGGGUGAGGAAUGCAUCACCAUCUUCUAUGUCUUGGGUGAUAUCGUAGAGCCACUUCUGCUAACACCGCAUACAUUCUACGGGAUAAAUCAAUAGUGAUUCGCGCCUUUCGUGUUUCUUUUAGCUGAUGCCGGAUUAGCUAGUUGGCGUGGUAAGGGCCCACCAAGGCAACGAUCCGUAGCCGGUCUGAGAGGAUGAUCAGCCACACUGGAACUGAGACACGGUCCAGACUCCUACGGGAGGCAGCAGUGGGGAAUCUUCGACAAUGGGCGAAAGCCUGACCCAGCAAUGCCGCGUGGGUGAAGAAGGCCUUCGGAUUGUAAAGCCCUUUUGUUGGGAAAGAAAAGAAGCAGAUUUAUACACGGCUGUUCUGACGGUACCCAAAGAAUAAGCACCGGCUAACUUCGUG
rnacentral:rRNA from 1 species